GAUGAACGCUGGCGGCGUGCCUAAUACAUGCAAGUCGAGCGAACAGAUGAGGAGCUUGCUCCUCUGACGUUAGCGGCGGACGGGUGAGUAACACGUGGAUAACCUACCUAUAAGACUGGGAUAACUACGGGAAACCGGAGCUAAUACCGGAUAAUAUAUUGAACCGCAUGGUUCAAUAGUGAAAGACGGUUUUGCUGUCACUUAUAGAUGGAUCCGCGCCGCAUUAGCUAGUUGGUAAGGUAACGGCUUACCAAGGCAACGAUGCGUAGCCGACCUGAGAGGGUGAUCGGCCACACUGGAACUGAGACACGGUCCAGACUCCUACGGGAGGCAGCAGUAGGGAAUCUUCCGCAAUGGGCGAAAGCCUGACUGAGCAACGCCGCGUGAGUGAUGAAGGUCUUCGGAUCGUAAAACUCUGUUAUUAGGGAAGAACAAAUGUGUAAGUAACUAUGCACGUCUUGACGGUACCUAAUCAGAAAGCCACGGCUAACUACGUG
rnacentral:rRNA from 1 species